GUGUUUUUAUUAAUUGAUGAUAAUGUCCGGUUUUCCUUCUGUGCGUGUAUAUGUGUGUAUAUGUGUGUAUAUGUGUGUGCCCCCCCUCUCCCGGUUGUCAUUGUGGGUUAGCGUUAUUACAGUAGCCAUUUAACGCAUCGCCAGAGAAGACGUCGUAUGACGUACAGACGUUAAUCAGGACGUACGACCAGACGCGGCAGCGUCAACAAUCUAGAGGCGGCAAAAAGGAAAGAAAAGAAGACCAGCGGUCAUAAAUGCAUCUGGAUUUGACUGUUGCCCGUUCUGGAUUUGACUGUUGCUACAAUUUCCUCUGCUGGGUUCGCUUGAUCAAAACAAAAAUGAAUAGAAAGACUGUGCCUGUCUCCUUAUCAGCCUUAAGACGAAGGACACGUGCAGACGUUCAAAAAAGGCUUAAUCAAAUUAGGACAGACAUGACUGACAUGACAGGAAUAGGGGCAGAUGACAGAGUUCUUUCUGAGAACACUGCCCAACCCUCUUCAGGUGCACAUGCAAUGCCAGAGGUGCAAGUUCUUACUGAAGAGGACAU